rnacentral:rRNA from 1 species
GAUGAACGCUGGCGGCGUGCCUAAUACAUGCAAGUCGAGCGAACAGACGAGGAGCUUGCUCCUCUGACGUUAGCGGCGGACGGGUGAGUAACACGUGGAUAACCUACCUAUAAGACUGGGAUAACUUCGGGAAACCGGAGCUAAUACCGGAUAAUAUAUUGAACCGCAUGGUUCAAUAGUGAAAGACGGUUUUGCUGUCACUUAUAGAUGGAUCCGCGCCGCAUUAGCUAGUUGGUAAGGUAACGGCUUACCAAGGCGACGAUGCGUAGCCGACCUGAGAGGGUGAUCGGCCACACUGGAACUGAGAGACGGUCCAGACUCCUACGGGAGGCAGCAGUAGGGAAUCUUCCGCAAUGGGCGAAAGCUUGACGGAGCAACGCCGCGUGAGUGAUGAAGGUCUUCGGAUCGUAAAACUCUGUUAUUAGGGAAGAACAAAUGUGUAAGUAACUAUGCACGUCUUGACGGUACCUAAUCAGAAAGCCACGGCUAACUACGUG